CUCAUACUCCCUCCGUCUCAAAAUUCUUGUCUUAGAUUUGUCUAAAUAUGGAUGUAUCAAGUCACGUUUUAGUAUUAGGUACAUCCGUAUCUAGACUAAUCUAAGACAAGAAUUUUGGGACGGAGGGAGUAAUAC
rnacentral:pre_miRNA from 1 species